UGGCUCAGUGGUAGAGUGCUUGCCUUGCAUGCAUGAGGCUUUGGGUUCAAUUCCUCA
rnacentral:tRNA from 1 species